UGAACGCUGGCGGCGUGCCUAACACAUGCAAGUCGAACGAGACUGAUUAGAUUGAGAUUUCGGUUGAUUCUAUGAAAGUCGAGUGGCGGACGGGUGAGUAACACGUGGGUAACCUGCCUUACAGAGGGGGAUAACAGUUUGAAAAGACUGCUAAUACCGCAUAAGCGCACAGCUUCGCAUGAAGCAGUGUGAAAAACUCCGGUGGAACAAAGAUUCAUCGCUAUGGGAUGGGGAUGCGUCUGAUUAGCUUGUUGGCGGGGUAACGGCCCACCAAGGCAACGAUCAGUAGGGGUUCUGAGAGGAAGGUCCCCCCACAUUGGAACUGAGACACGGUCCAAACUCCUACGGGAGGCAGCAGUGAGGAAUAUUGGUCAAUGGGCGGAAGCCUGAACCAGCCAAGUAGCGUGAGGGAUGACUGCCCUAUGGGUUGUAAACCUCUUUUACAAGGGAAUAAAAUACGGGACGUGUCCUGUUUUGCAUGUACCUUAUGAAUAAGGACCGGCUAAUUCCGUG
rnacentral:rRNA from 1 species